rnacentral:rRNA from 1 species
AGAGUUUGAUCCUGGCUCAGGACGAACGCUGGCGGCGCGCUUAACACAUGCAAGUCGAGCGAGAACCAUUCCUUCGGGAAUGGGGACAGCGGCGAACGGGUGAGUAACACGUGGGUAAUCUGCCCUCGAUUCUGGGAUAGCCCGGGGAAACCCGGAUUAAUACCGGAUAGCCUCUCGAGCUUUCGAGCUCGUGAGAAAAGGUAGCUUCGGCCUCCGAUCGAGGAUGAGCCCGCGGCGGAUUAGCUUGUUGGUGGGGUAAUGGCCUACCAAGGCGACGAUCCGUAGCUGUCUGAGAGGACGAUCAGCCACACUGGGACUGAGACACGGCCCAGACUCCUACGGGAGGCAGCAGUGGGGAAUCUUGCGCAAUGGGCGAAAGCCUGACGCAGCGACGCCGCGUGGGGGAAGAAGGCCUUCGGGUUGUAAACCUCUUUCAGCAGGGACGAAGCCACUCGGGUUAAUAGCCCAGAGGGUGACGGUACCUGCAGAAGAAGCCCCGGCUAACUACGUGCCAGCAGCCGCGGUAAU